UACAGAGGUCUCAACCGUUGUUCGGAUUCAUUGGGCGUAAAGGGUGCGUAGGCGGUCGCGCAAGUCGGAUGUGAAAUCUCAGGGCUCAACCCUGAAACUGCAUUCGAUACUGCGUGGCUAGAGUGCUGGAGAGGAGACUGGAAUUUACGGUGUAGCAGUGAAAUGCGUAGAUAUCGUAAGGAAGACCAGUGGCGAAGGCGAGUCUCUGGACAGCAACUGACGCUGAGGCACGAAGGCCCAGGGGAGCAAACGGG
rnacentral:rRNA from 1 species